rnacentral:rRNA from 1 species
AUUGAACGCUGGCGGCAGGCUUAACACAUGCAAGUCGAGCGAGCGGCGGACGGGUGAGUACUGUCUGGGAAACUGCCUGAUGGAGGGGGAUAACUACUGGAAACGGUAGCUAAUACCGCAUACCAUCAGAUGUGCCCAGAUGGGAUUAGCUAGUAGGUGGGGUAAUUGCUAACCUAGGCGACCAUCCCUAGCGGGUCUGAGAGGAUGAACCGCCCAACCGGAAACUAGACACGGUCCAGAAUUCCACGGGAGGCAGGAGUUGGGAAAUUUUGAAAAUGGGGGCAAGCCCGAUUCCGCCAUGCCGGGUGUGGGGAGGAGGCCUUUGGGUUUUAAAGCACUUUCAGCGAGGAGGCGUUACUCGCAGAAGAAGCACCGGCUAACUCCGUGCCAGCAGCCGCGGUAAUAC